GUGUUCCUGUUUUUAUGAAGUUUAUUUCUCUUAGUACAGUGAUUCUGAUAGUGGGUUCUGCAGAAAUUAAAAUUAAAAAUUCAUUUUCUCGGUUGCAAUAGCCAUUUUUCAAGGGCUUACUAGUGACAUGUGACAAUGGCUGCUGUAUUGGACAGCACAGAAAGUACUUUUGCACUGCAUUAAUUUAGAAGACUUAAUAUAAUUAACAAUAUUAAUAAUUGAGUAUUGAACACCACAUCCAAGGUGCAGAUCUCUGAAUAAUAUCUGAUCAUAAUGUGGGCAAGUUAGAAAUUAAUGACAAGAAAAGGCAGAAACAUGGGAGACAGGUGAAGAUUUCUUAAACAGAAUAUAAAAAGCACUAGAUACAAAGGAAAAAAGUGAUUAAUUGGAUUUCAUCAAAAGACACUGACUUAGUUUGCUUAGGCUGCCAUAACACAAUACUAUAGACUUGGUGGCUUAAACAAAAUAAAUGUAUUUUCUCACGGUUCUGGAACCUAAUUUAGCCUCAAUUAUCUCCCAAAGUCCCUAUCUCCAAAAUAGUUGGGGUGGGGGAAGUGCCUGUGUUAUAAUGACUAAAAGUAGUAUCAACAAUUUAGAUAAGUAUAGUGUGGCCUUACGGAUGUAAGUCCGUAAGAUCAUGCAGCAUUGAAGAUGUGCAGUUUACUAGAUCUUCUAAUAUUCUCGGGUGUCUCACUGUUUCUUUUUUUUUUUUUUUUGAGAUAGGGUAUCACUUUGUCACCCAGUCUGGAAUGCAGUGGCGUGAUCAGGGCUCCCUGUAGCCUUGACCUCCUGGGCUCAAACCUCUCACCUCAGCCCCCUGAAUAACGGGGAUUACUGAUUUGUGCCACCAAGCCAGGCUAAUUUAUUUUCUUUCUUUCUCUCUUUCUUUCUUUCUUUCUUUCUCUCUCUCUCUCUCUUUCUUUCUUUCUUUCUUUCUUUCCUUUCUUUCCUUCUUUCUUUCUUUUCUCUCUUUCUCUCUCUCUCUCUCUCUCUCUCUCUUCCUUUCUUCCUUUCUUUUUGUAGAGUUUGGGUCUCACUAUAUUGCCCAGGCUGGUCUUGAACUCCUGGCCUCAAAUGAUUCUCCCUCCUUGGCCUCCCAAAGUGUUGAGAUUAUAGUUUUCAGCCACCGCACCCAGCCUCACUGUUUUCUUCAGUUGUUUCUGAACAACUGGAAUCUCAGCUGUCUUUUUCCAUUAAAUCCCGUGUUCGUUCCUCCAUACCAUGCUGCCUCUUGCCCAUUUUUGCAUUUCUCCUUUCUGCUUUCCUGAACAUCCUGAGUCUUACUGGGCUGGCAUUCCCUUGUUGGGACAGGGGAGAGGCUCUAGGCCUUGGAUCCUUGUUCUGAUUCCUUCUCCAAAGAGUUUUCCCUUUUUCUUCCCCUUUCAAAACAACAUAAGUGCAAAAGCUUUGUCAGGAUGUUGGGAAUUAAAAAAGCUUCAGAAACAUUUUGAUUCAUUUAACAACAUUACUCUGAAACUUUUUAGAGUAAGAGUACCAAGUCACUGAAUAAGACGAUCUUGAAAUUAAACGAUAUUUUACAGUUUUAAAAACACCUUCACAGAUCUUUUCUUAUUAGAUUCUCAGCACAACCUUAUGAGUUGGCACUGUCAAAAUUCAGUUCAACAAACAAAAUCCAACUAACAGGAAAACUCACAGCUAACAUCAUACUUAAUGGUUGAAGACUGAAAGCUUUCCCCCUUAAGAUCAGAACAAGACAAGGAUGCUCUUGCCACUCCUAUUCAACACUCUAUUGGUGGUUCUAGGUGGGGCAGUUAAGCAGGAAAAAGAAAAGACAUUUAUAUCAGAAAGAAAUAAAACUAUAUUUACCGAUGACAUGAUCUUACAUGUAGAAAAAUCCUACAGAAUUUACCAAAAAAAAUUGGAACUAAUAAAUGAGUUCAGCAAAGUUGCAGGAUACAAGAUUAUUAUCUAAAAAUCAGUUGCAUUCCUAUAUGCUAGCUAUGGAUAAUCUGAAAAUGAAAUAGAAAAAAUUCCAUUUAUAAUAACAUCAGAAAGAAUAAAAUACUUAUGAAUAAAGUUAACCAAAGAAGUACACUAAAAAGUACACUAAAAAACAGAAAACAUGUUGAAGGAAAUUAGAGAUCUAAAUAAAUUGAAAGACGUCCUGUGUUCAUGGCUUGGAAGACUUAAUAUUGUUAAGAUGACAGUGCUACCCAGAUUUAUCUACAGGUUUAAUGCAAUCACUAUCACAGUUCAACUGCCUUUUUCCCGGAAAUGGACAACCUGAUCUUAUAAUUCAUAUGGAAUUGCAGAGCCAUAUUUGCCACAACAGUCUUGAAAAAAAGAGAACAAAAUU
rnacentral:lncRNA from 1 species